rnacentral:piRNA from 1 species
GUUGAAGUGUGGAGUUGUAACUCU